CAUAAAAUUUUAAUCUUUUUUCCUAACAAUUCGGAUUUCUUCUGAAUCCAAGAGUAAAGAUGCAGAACGAAGAGGGAACCAUCGUCGAUCUCUACAUCCCAAGAAAAUGACAUGAAUAUAACAUUUUUUGAUUGAUUUCUUUUUAUUUAGGGUUUCAUUUGUUGAUUGUUUUUUUUUCAAUUUUACUCAGUUCAGCGACGAAUCGAUUGAUUACUGCAAAGGAUCGUGUCGCGGUCUAGAUUUUGAUGAAUGGUUUGAAUUUUGUUGGAUUGCAAAUGGUUAUGAUGUUAAUGAGAGAUUGAUUUGAAGCUGAAAUUGUGUCUAAAGAUUUUGGUUCGAGAGAUGAUGAGUUAUGAAGCUAAUAAUCUCAUUCUAGGGAUCAAAAAGAAUUGUCGAGGCAUUAGGUCUUCAUGUACCUCGAUCACGAAGUACUGUUCGAAGAAACUGCCGAAGGAUUGCUCGGUUCUCACACUGAGCAAUGGCAAGAUUGUAUUCCAGAGAGAAUCCACAGGUUUAGUUUGAUCUGGUUUGAUACAUUAAGUUUAGCUUUUGUUGAUUGUCUACAAUCUAUGAAA